rnacentral:lncRNA from 1 species
GCUCCCGCCGCCGGGGCCGCCCCAGGCUCCCCCGUUGACCGCCGGCGACGGGUGGGGUAGUGGUGGCGCUGCUGGAGGGAGCAGCAGCAACGUGGAGGCGGUGAGCCUGAACCGGCUCAGCAAAAACCUCGAGCGGCUCCUCAUCGACGAGGACCUCGACUGCAGCGACGCCGACAUCGAGGUGCCCGACGGUGGGCCGCCCGUCCCCGUCCACCGCUGUAUACUCGCCGUGCGGAGCCCCUUCUUCUACGACAUCUUCGCCGCGCGCGGCCGCGGAGGCG